AACGAACGCUGGCGGCAGGCCUAACACAUGCAAGUCGAACGGGAUCUUCGGAUCUAGUGGCGGACGGGUGAGUAACGCGUGGGAACGUGCCCUUUGGUUCGGAAUAGCCCCGGGAAACUGGGAGUAAUACCGGGUAAGCCCUACGGGGGAAAGAUUUAUCGCCAAAGGAUCGGCCCGCGUUGGAUUAGGUAGUUGGUGAGGUAAUGGCCCACCAAGCCGACGAUCCAUAGCUGGUUUGAGAGGAUGAUCAGCCACACUGGGACUGAGACACGGCCCAGACUCCUACGGGAGGCAGCAGUGGGGAAUCUUAGACAAUGGGGGAAACCCUGAUCUAGCCAUGCCGCGUGAUCGAUGAAGGCCUUAGGGUUGUAAAGAUCUUUCAGUGGGGAAGAUAAUGACUGUACCCACAGAAGAAGCCCCGGCUAACUCCGUGCCAGCCGCCGCAGUAAUAC
rnacentral:rRNA from 1 species